GAUGAAGAACGUAGUGAAAUGCGAUAAGUAAUGCGAAUUGCAGAAUUCAGUGAAUCAUCGAAUCUUUGAACGCACAUUGCGCCCGCUAGUAUUCUGGCGGGCAUGCCUGUCUGAGCGUCAUUUCAACCCUCGCCCCCGGCUUUUGCUGGGAGCGGUGUUGGGGAUCGGCCGCCCGUCACUGGGAGGCCGGCCCCGAAAUAGAGUGGCGACCACGCCGUGUGCUCCUCUGCGUAGUAGUAAAUCACCUCGCAGGCGGACAGCGGUGCGGCCUGCCGUAAAACCCCCAACUCUUUCUGGUUGACCUCAGAUCAGGUAGGAAUACCCGCUGAACUUAAGCAUAUCAAUAAGAGGAGGA
rnacentral:misc_RNA from 1 species